rnacentral:rRNA from 1 species
UAUCUCUGUAGAGUCUGCAUAUCAAUAAGCGGAGGAAAAGAAACUAACAAGGAUUCCCCUAGUAACGGCGAGUGAAGCGGGAAGAGCUCAAAUUUGAAAUCUUAAAGGGUUUCCCUUUACGAAUUGUAGUUUAAAGAAGUGUUUUCUGUUGAGGUUUUGGUAAAAGUUCUUUGGAAUAGGACAUCAUAGAGGGUGAGAAUCCCGUAUUUGACCUUUACUUUCAACUUUGUGAUACACUUUCAAAGAGUCGGAUUGUUUGGGAAUGCAGUCCAAAAUGGGUGGUAAAUUUCAUCUAAAGCUAAAUAUUGGCGAGAGACCGAUAGCGAACAAGUACCGUGAGGGAAAGAUGAAAAGAACUUUGAAAAGAGAGUUAAACAGUACGUGAAAUUGUCAAAAGGGAAGCGUUUGACACCAGUGUUGUUUUUCUGAAAAUCAAUUAAAGAACUGUUUAUGCUAAGUUGUUUAGACUUUAUCAGCUAUCUGUUUAGUUUUGAGCUUUUCUUUAAUGCACUUUUCAGUUAACAAGUCAACAUCAAUUUCUUUUGCUGUAAAAAAGCUUGAGGAAGGUGGCUUGAGAUUCGUCUUAAGUGUUUAUAGCCUCUUGCCUAUGCAGUCGGAGAGAUUGAGGUCUGCAGCGUAGAUCCUUCGGGGCUAAAUGCAUUUGUGCUAAGUUAUAGCAUUUUAUAGACAACUUGUUGACUAUGAUUUGUCUUGUAGCUUACUCGCUUAUGUUAUUUUACCUACGCUUAGGAUGUUGACGAUCAGCUGAGCGCG